GAUGCCAGGGUCUCAAUCCCUAAGCCCACAUUGUGCUUGCACAUAUGGGGGCUUAGGGAUUAGAGACCCGCCCCGAUAUGAGCAUAAAAGUGAAGCGUUAAGCUUCACGAUAUGCGAAUACCGGGUAGGAGUGUGGGAGUGCGCAGCACGAAGCAAUCCGUUGGCAUC
rnacentral:sRNA from 1 species